GCGGGUGUAGUUCAUCGGUAGAACGGCAGCUUCCCAAGCUGCAUAGGUGGGUUCGACUCCCAUCAUCCGCUCCA
rnacentral:tRNA from 11 species